ensembl:snRNA U6 U6 spliceosomal RNA
AUGCUUGCUUCAACAGCACAUAUACUAAAAUUGGAACGAUAAAGAGAAGAUUAGCAUAGCCCCUGAGCAAGGAUGACACACUAAUUUGUGAAGUGUUCCAUAGUUUU